GUCAAGGGGCAGCGAUCGCCCCACGAGGCCACGGCCGAAGAAUCGCGUCCUGUGAAACCGUUAGAACGGAGGACGCGCUGCCAUG
rnacentral:ncRNA from 1 species